rnacentral:lncRNA from 1 species
GCUCUCACAGGUAGAUGAAGCAAACGCCGAGGUGCUGCAGCUGUGAGCAGAAAAUGACAUGGAAUUCACAGUGGACUUCCUACUCCUGUGAAAGAAAGGGAGAAGAUGCUUUUGCUUCACGCAAUCUUCACAUCUAAAGAGGUUGCUGCUGUUAAGCACUUCCACAACUUAGACACACAAAGAAAUGGGAACCCUUUGCAGCCAGUAGUGGAACAUGAGCGUGGACCCUUCAGGCUUUGUCUGAUUUCUUCCUGUUUCUCUGACAUGUUGCUAAAUCAUGGCAAUGGAAGAGCUCAUCUCCAGGCUGCCAAACCCAUGCUGCCUUCCAGGUAA